GGAGAGGUACCCAAGUGGCCAACGGGAACAGACUGUAAAUCUGUCGGCUAAUGCCUUCGGAGGUUCGAAUCCUCCCCUCUCCA
rnacentral:tRNA from 1 species